CUCCCCAAGGCUUUGGCAGGAGGUGUCCCCAUGAGGAUUUUAACGGCAUGCAAACCUGCAAGGCGAGAGCUGCGAUGGUUCCAAAGAAUCCAAAUGCACCUUGCGAUUUGGGACCGACUACGUUUCCUGUACUGCCAAGACAAUGGAUUUGCCAAAUUGUGGGUUAAUGACCUGACAUUCCAUAUGCUGCCUGGACGGCCUGAUGGUGACUUAGGCCGCUUCUCUGGACAUCAGGAGUGGCUGCUUCUCAAGCCUCAGCAUUCGGCAGGAUUCCAAGGACACGUUUAUGACCAUCAUAAUUGUGAGUUAGCGAUCUCCCAGGCCAAGCGAAAUGAAAUUAUGAGAAACUGAAAUGUGUUUUAAUUGGAGCAUUUAUGGAAGAAAGAAGUCAGAGUGGCUGCUUUUUUCCUUUGUGUGACUCUGCGGUCCGUGGCAAUACCUGUGCCCAGGACACCAGGACUGGAUGAGCUUGGGCCAAGCUAACAGUGGAGAGAAGAGCAGAGAGAAUGAGGUAGGUGUGUCAAGAAGGAGUCAUUUUCUUAGCUUAAAAAAAAAAUGGAGGUACAGUCGCCGGCGUUCCGCCUCACCGACCA
rnacentral:lncRNA from 1 species